rnacentral:lncRNA from 1 species
CUGAAGCCUAUCUCCUUUGGUGCUCCUGUCCAGAUAACAUGGAGCCCAUGGGCCCCUCGAUGCCAGGACAGUCCAUCAGAGUCUGGGAGAUGAGGCUCCUCUUGUCCCAGGAAUCUGCUCCUACCUGGGCUGAACAUUCCUGUAGCUAUUUCUCAGGGUUUGUGGGCCCCAUGCCCAUGGCCCUGGGUGUGCCUAGCUUAGUGCCACAGUAAACACUCACUCCAUCCACCAUGGCCCAG